GACGAACGCUGGCGGCGUGCUUAACACAUGCAAGUCGAGCGGUAAGGCCCUUUCGGGGGUACACGAGCGGCGAACGGGUGAGUAACACGUGGGUGACCUGCCCUCAGCUCUGGGAUAAGCCUGGGAAACCGGGUCUAAUACCGGAUAUGACCUCAUGACGCAUGUUGUGGGGUGGAAAGCCUUGUGCGGCUGAGGAUGGGCCCGCGGCCUAUCAGCUUGUUGGUGGGGUGAUGGCCUACCAAGGCGACGACGGGUAGCCGGCCUGAGAGGGCGACCGGCCACACUGGGACUGAGACACGGCCCAGACUCCUACGGGAGGCAGCAGUGGGGAAUCUUGCGCAAUGGGCGAAAAGCCUGACGCAGCGACGCCGCGUGAGGGAUGACGGCCUGUGUAAC
rnacentral:rRNA from 1 species